UGGGGAAUAUUGCACAAUGGGCGAAAGCCCGAUGCAGCAACGCCGCGUGAGUGAUGAAGGCCUUCGGGUUGUAAAGCUCUGUCUUCUGGGACGAUAAUGACGGUACCAGAGGAGGAAGCCACGGCUAACUACGUGCCAGCAGCCGCGGUAAUACGUAGGUGGCAAGCGUUGUCCGGAUUUACUGGGCGUAAAGGAUGCGUAGGCGGAUACUUAAGUCAGAUGUGAAAAUCCCGGGCUUAACUUGGGAACUGCAUUUGAAACUGGGUAUCUAGAGUGCGGGAGAGGAGAGUGGAAUUCCUAGUGUAGCGGUGAAAUGCGUAGAGAUUAGGAAGAACACCAGUGGCGAAGGCGACUUUCUGGACCGUAACUGACGCUGAGGCAUGAAAGCGUGGGGAGCAAACA
rnacentral:rRNA from 1 species